rnacentral:rRNA from 1 species
UAUCUCUGUAGAGUCUGCAUAUCAAUAAGCGGAGGAAAAGAAACUAACAAGGAUUCCCUUAGUAACGGCGAGUGAAGCGGGAAGAGCUCAAAUUUGAAAUCUUCAAGGUUCUACCUUGACGAAUUGUAGUUUAAAGAAGUGUUUUCUGUUAGAUGAGUAGCAAAAGUUCCUUGGAAUGGGACAUCAUAGAGGGUGAGAAUCCCGUAUUUGGUUAUUCAUUCUAGCUUUGUGAUACACUUUCAAAGAGUCGGAUUGUUUGGGAAUGCAGUCCAAAAUGGGUGGUAAAUUUCAUCUAAAGCUAAAUAUUGGCGAGAGACCGAUAGCGAGCAAGUACCGUGAGGGAAAGAUGAAAAGAACUUUGAAAAGAGAGUUAAACAGUACGUGAAAUUGUCAAAAGGGAAGCGUUUGACACCAGUGUUGUUUUUCCGAAAAUCAAUUACGAAUGGCUUGAUUUUGUGUUGUAUUGACCUUAUCAGCUUUCUUCACUUUUUUCGAGUCUUUCUUAAUGCACUUUUCGGUUAACAAGUCAACAUCAAUUUCUUUUGUUGUAAAAGAGUAUUCGGAAGGUGGCUUUCUUUUCGGAGAAAGUGUUUAUAGCCCUAUACUUCUACAAUCGGAGAGAUUGAGGUCUGCAGCGUAGAUCCUUCGGGGUUAGAUACACUUGUGCUAAGUUGUAGCUUUUCAUAGACAACUUGUUGACUAUGUUUAGUCAUGCGGCUUACUCGCUUGUGCUAUUUUACCUACGCUUAGGAUGUUGACUGAUAUGUAGUCGUA